CUUGUACUCCCUCCGUCCCAUAGUAAGUGACUUUCUAUUAUGUGUAUCUAGACAUAUUUUAGUAUAUAAAUACGUUCAUAUUUAGACAAAUUUGAGUCACUUAAUAUGGGAUGGAGGGAGUAUGAU
rfam:Brachypodium distachyon strain Bd21 chromosome 2, whole genome shotgun sequence.